ensembl:lncRNA
GAGAGAUGUUUGUUAUAAGUUUCACCUUCCUCUCCAUCCCUUUCUGAUUCCAAGUUGUCUAGGCCUGCAGAUUCCCUUAGUGAUCUCUAUUAGGUGGGUACUUCAUCCACAACCUCCACUGCUGGGAUUUUCACAGUUUUUGCUCAAGGAAUACUUUGGAUGUUCGAUGACCCAGAAGGCCUACUGCAAGUAUCCACAAGGCAAAUGACAAGGGAAUCUGAUAAAUUGGACCAUACUGUGAACAGAACAACUAUUAGUCUGAAUGCAACUAAUGGG